rnacentral:rRNA from 1 species
CUACGGGAGGCAGCAGUAGGGAAUCUUCGGCAAUGGACGGAAGUCUGACCGAGCAACGCCGCGUGAGUGAAGAAGGUUUUCGGAUCGUAAAGCUCUGUUGUAAGAGAAGAACGAGUGUGAGAGUGGAAAGUUCACACUGUGACGGUAUCUUACCAGAAAGGGACGGCUAACUACGUGCCAGCAGCCGCGGUAAUACGUAGGUCCCGAGUGUUGUCCGGAUUUAUUGGGCGUAAAGCGAGCGCAGGCGGUUAGAUAAGUCUGAAGUUAAAGGCUGGGGCUUAACCAUAGUACGCUUUGGAAACUGUUUAACUUGAGUGCAGAAGGGGAGAGUGGAAUUCCAUGUGUAGCGGUGAAAUGCGCAGAUAUAUGGAGGAACACCGGUGGCGAAAGCGGCUCUCUGGUCUGUAACUGACGCUGAGGCUCGAAAGCGUGGGGAGCAAACAGGAUUAGAUACCCUAGUAGUC